AACGUGUGGCAACGUGUAAAAAACAAAAAUCAAAACCCACCAGAAACCGGUGGUGAUCCACUUGUCAACGGACAAAUCAUAAACAAAUUCCUUAAAAAAAUUUAAAAUCGCGAAUCUUGUUAGC